GUCCACGCCGUAAACGUUGGGCACUAGGUGUGGGUCUCAACCAACGAGAUCCGCGCCGUCGCUAACGCAUUAAGUGCCCCGCCUGGGGAGUACGGUCGCAAGACUAAAACUCAAAGGAAUUGACGGGGGCCCGCACAAGCAGCGGAGCGUGUUGCUUAAUUCGAUGUUACGCGAAGAACCUUACCUGGGUUUGACAUGUAGGGAAAAGCUCUGGAGACAGGGUGUCCUAACGGGCCCUACACAGGUGGUGCAUGGCUGUCGU
rnacentral:rRNA from 1 species